rnacentral:rRNA from 1 species
GACGAACCGUGCGAACGUUGUUCGGAAUUACUGGGCGUAAAGGGCUCGUAGGCGGCCAACUAAGUCCGACGUGAAAUCCCCAGGCUUAACCUGGGAACUGCGUCGGAUACUGGAUGGCUUGAAUUCGGGAGAGGGAUGCAGAAUUCCAGGUGUAGCGGUGAAAUGCGUAGAUAUCUGGAGGAAUACCGGUGGCGAAGGCGGCAUCCUGGACCGACAUUGACGCUGAUGAGCGAAAGCUAGGGGAGCAAACGGG